GUCGUGCACCCGCUUGGGUGUCUGACAGCGAUGCCGUGCCAGGCAGGGGCAGCAAGCAGCUGGGGAUACAGCAGCAAGCCCCUGUGCCAGCAGCCGUGCUUGGCAGCUUCUUGAAGAGAAGACGAGGAUAAGCGAGGUUUUCCAAGUCGUGAGUUAUCAAGAACUUGUAAUCGAUGAGCUCGCCAGCUCGCCACACAUGGCAGCGAGGCUCUGCGAGUGAAGCACCACCUCGGAUCACGGCGAAAUCAUCCUUUCUGAGCGGGUGAGCACCUACGGCCACACAAACCGAAGGCACCCGGCAUGCAGGCAUGGCGUGCUCAGUUCAUUCUGUAUGCAGGCAGUUCGCAUUGCACAGGCAGGCUACGGAGCUGCCUGCACUACAAGGCUGCUAUGAAGUGCUGCAGGACGAGAGCAGAAAAGUUUGAAGAUGUUGCCAUCGCCCAUGGAGAUGGUCCAUGAAAAGAGACAGGAAAGGAGGCCAGUACAGCACCUUAUGUGACAGCCAAAAUCAGCUAAACACGCAUCAGCAGCAACAACCAGUUUGACUCAAGAAAAUAUUCCUUUUUGAACACAAACACAAAUGUCAUGCCUGUUUUGAAAUACAAGACACUAUCCAACAGG